AAUGAUAAAUGGAAAGGUGGAUUGACAUCUACUCGAACCCUGAACUCCAGAUAACGUCAUUGAACGUUUUUAGAAAAAAAGUUUUUAACACGUGUUAUUUUAUUUUUGUCUCUUUCUCCUCGCUGUGUGUUGCUUGUGUUACAUACUCAGUGGACAAAUGAAGUGCGGUCUGGGGCCAUACGGAAUUUUAUUUCCAUCCAAACAAUACAUAUUUACAGUUCCGUUACCAGUUAUUAAUCAUCGCAGCAGUUGCAAGGUCCUGCCUAUACUUCUGAGGAAAAUAUGUCGCAAAAUCUCUAGACACCAUCAGCAGAUGAUCACAAAGGAUAUACAAAUCAAGCUUGAUAUUUUUCUUUUUACAUUCGUACUUUUUAAGGAAGCUCUCAAAAUAUUGGAAUUUGUAGAACAUUGUUUUUACAAACGUUUUAUGCCACCGCCUAGUAGUCUUAAUUUUCAUGCUUCCUGUUCUCUUAAAUGCAUCGAAGAUCUCAUCUCUUUUGCCUUCAUAGAACAGGUUGAUCUUCGAUUCAAAUGUUAAAAAACAGAUGCCAUAUAACACAAUUUGAUCAGUCAAACAUUAUUGAAAUGCAUCAUGUUCACGUCACCUUGCUCAGUACAAAUAAGAAACAAUCUAUUCUUUGGAGAUUCCUGUCUCUUUCAAAAGCGCUUCGACAUGACAGCCAUUAAAUUGCAAAAUAAUCUACUUGAAAACAACCGAAUUUUUAUCUCUCUAUUUAUUAAUAAGUUUUCAUUACAUCUUGCAACAAUUCUUCAAGUUCACUUCUCAGGUCGCUGCAGCAUGUGUUCAGUUUCUGGGCAGUUCGCGCCAGUUCUGGGAUAUUUCUUUGAUGCUAACGUCGGUUUCCUUAUGCUACUCCAUACUGGUUGCAACGUUGUGUGCAACCACAGCAAGAUAUUUCCACUCAAAUUUUCCCUCACCGCGAAUCCGUCAAGUUUUGGAGCAAAUAAACUCCCAUCUAAGGUUAGCAAAAGAGACAACGCUAGAAAAUCUGUUCCGAGGUUUUGAUCCAGGAAACGGCAUUGUUGUUGUUGGCACUCCGUCGCUUACGACGUCGAGGGUUCCAGUUGAUCCGAUCAAUGGAACAGCCUGCUCGUGAAUUUAACGUGCAAGUGGUUGAGCACUCUACAGAUACGUAUACCCUUAACGUAGUUCUCAGGGAUAUUCAGCGUGACACAGUGUGACAAGGCUGACC